UGAACGCUGGCGGCGUGCCUAAUACAUGCAAGUCGAGCGAACGGACGAGAAGCUUGCUUCUCUGAUGUUAGCGGCGGACGGGUGAGUAACACGUGGAUAACCUACCUAUAAGACUGGGAUAACUUCGGGAAACCGGAGCUAAUACCGGAUAAUAUUUUGAACCGCAUGGUUCAAAAGUGAAAGACGGUCUUGCUGUCACUUAUAGAUGGAUCCGCGCUGCAUUAGCUAGUUGGUAAGGUAACGGCUUACCAAGGCAACGAUGCAUAGCCGACCUGAGAGGGUGAUCGGCCACACUGGAACUUAGACACGGUCCAGACUCCUACGGGAGGCAGCAGUAGGGAAUCUUCCGCAAUGGGCGAAAGCCUGACGGAGCAACGCCGCGUGAGUGAUGAAGGUCUUCGGAUCGUAAAACUCUGUUAUUAGGGAAGAACAUAUGUGUAAGUAACUGUGCACAUCUUGACGGUACCUAAUCAGAAAGCCACGGCUAACUACGUG
rnacentral:rRNA from 1 species